rnacentral:rRNA from 1 species
GUCCUAGCUGUAAACGAUGGGCACUAGGUAGAGGGGGUGUCGAUACUCUCUCUGUCGUAGCAAAUGUGUUAAGUGCCCCGCCUGGGGAGUACGGUCGCAAGGCUAAAAACUCAAAAGGAAUUGACGGGGGCUCACACAAGCGGUGGAGCAUGUGGUUCAAUUCGAAGCAACGCGAAGAACCUUACCCGGGUUUGAAAUCCACGGAUGGGUCCGAUGAAAGUUGGAUACCCUGCCCGCAAGGGUGAAACGUGGACAGGUGUUGCAUGGCUGUCGU